rnacentral:rRNA from 1 species
UUACUAGAGUAGCACUCGCAUAUCAAUAAGCGGAGGAAAAGAAACUAACAAGGAUUCCCCUAGUAACGGCGAGUGAAGCGGGAAGAGCUCAAAUUUGAAAUCUUAAAGGGUUUCCCUUUACGAAUUGUAGUUUAAAGAAGUGUUUUCUGUUGAGGUUUUGGUAAAAGUUCUUUGGAAUAGGACAUCAUAGAGGGUGAGAAUCCCGUAUUUGACCUUUACUUUCAACUUUGUGAUACACUUUCAAAGAGUCGGAUUGUUUGGGAAUGCAGUCCAAAAUGGGUGGUAAAUUUCAUCUAAAGCUAAAUAUUGGCGAGAGACCGAUAGCGAACAAGUACCGUGAGGGAAAGAUGAAAAGAACUUUGAAAAGAGAGUUAAACAGUACGUGAAAUUGUCAAAAGGGAAGCGUUUGACACCAGUGUUGUUUUUCUGAAAAUCAAUUAAAGAACUGUUUAUGCUAAGUUGUUUAGACUUUAUCAGCUAACUGUUUAGUUUUGAGCUUUUCUUUAAUGCACUUUUCAGUUAACAAGUCAACAUCAAUUUCUUUUGCUGUAAAAAAGCUUGAGGAAGGUGGCUUGAGAUUCGUCUUAAGUGUUUAUAGCCUCUUGCCUAUGCAGUCGGAGAGAUUGAGGUCUGCAGCGUAGAUCCUUCGGGGCUAAAUGCAUUUGUGCUAAGUUAUAGCAUUUCAUAGACAACUUGUUGACUAUGAUUUGUCUUGUAGCUUACUCGCUUAUGUUAUUUUACCUACGCUUAGGAUGUUGAGUCAUCACACAUCUCU